rnacentral:rRNA from 1 species
CGCGCAGGCGGCUGGUCAAGUCUGAUGUGAAAUCUCCCGGCUCAACUGGGAAACUGCAUCGGAAACUGAUCGGCUUGAAGGUGGGAGAGGGUAGUGGAAUUCCCGGUGUAGUGGUGAAAUGCGUAGAUAUCGGGAGGAACACCAGUGGCGAAGGCGACUACCUGGCCCAUUCUUGACGCUGAGGCGCGAAAGCUAGGGGAGCGAACG